UAUUCGUGCCCUACGGAACAACUCCGGGAAACUGGAGCUAAUACCGUAUACGCCCUUUGGGGGAAAGAUUUAUCGGGGUAUGAUGAGCCCGCGUUGAAUUAGCUAGUUGGUGGGGUAAAGGCCUACCAAGGCGACGAUCCAUAGCUGGUCUGAGAGGAUGAUCAGCCACAUUGGGACUGAGACACGGCCCAAACUCCUACGGGAGGCAGCAGUGGGGAAUAUUGGACAAUGGGCGCAAGCCUGAUCCAGCCAUGCCGCGUGAGUGAUGAAGGCCCUAGGGUUGUAAAGCUCUUUCACCGGGGAAGAUAAUGACGGUACCCGGAGAAGAAG
rnacentral:rRNA from 1 species